rnacentral:rRNA from 1 species
UACGGAGGGGGCUAGCGUUGUUCGGAAUUACUGGGCGUAAAGCGCGCGUAGGCGGACCUGCAAGUCGGGGGUGAAAGCCCGAGGCUCAACCUCGGAACUGCCUUCGAUACUGCGGGUCUCGAGUCCGGGAGAGGGUGAGUGGAAUUCCUUAGUGGUAGAGGUGAAAUUCGUAGAUAUUCGCAAAGAACACCCAGUGGGCGAAAGGCGGCUCACUGGGCCCCGAUACGUGACGCUGAGGUGCGAAAGCGUGGG